rnacentral:sRNA from 1 species
GUCGUGAGAUGUUGGGUUAAGUCCCGCAACGAGCGCAACCCUUGUCGUUAAUUGCCAUCAUUUAGUUGGGCACUUUAACGAGACUGCCGGUGACAAACCGGAGGAAGGUGGGGAUGACGUCAAGUCCUCAUGGCCCUUAUGGGUAGGGCCUCACACGUAAUACAAUGGCCGGUACAGAGGGCUGCCAACCCGCGAGGGGGAGCUAAUCUCAGAAAGCCGGUCGUAGUCCGGAUUGUUCUCUGCAACUCGAGAACAUGAAGUUGGAAUCGCUAGUAAUCGCGGAUCAGCAUGUCGCGGUGAAUACGUUCCCGGGUCUUGUACACACCGCCCGUCACACCAUGGGAGUGGGUUCCACCAGAAGUAGGUAGCCUAACCGCAAGGAAGGCGCUUACCACGGUGAGAUUCAUGACUGGGGUGAAGUCGUAACAAGGUAGCCGUAGGGGAACCUGCGGCUGGAUCACCUCCUUUCUAGAGUACGUUCCAGGGCCCAGUGCUCACUCUUAUCGGUUGUUUUUACGGCAGGGACUAGAGGCUAGGGAUUGGGGGCUAGAUGAAAAUCAAGAUGCUAUUCCCUAGCCCCUAAUCCCUAGACCCUAAACGCGGGUCUGUAGCUCAGCUGGUUAGAGCACACGCUUGAUAAGCGUGGGGUCGAUGGUUCAAAUCCAUCCAGACCCACCAUUUAUCGGGGGUGUAGCUCAGUUGGGAGAGCGCAUGCUUUGCAAGCAUGAGGUCAUCGGUUCGAUCCCGUUCACCUCCACCAGAUUUCGUGAGGUGUAUCGGAUCGCCGGCAAGAUCGACGCCAUACUCCCGACCCCGCGGCAAGAACGCAGAGCUAAGCGUAAAAACGCUUAGCUCUGGUUUUUUGACCAGUAGGCUGUAAUUGCUCUUUAACAAAAUGGAAGAAGUAAAGCGUUUCAGUUCUGAAGUUUGGAACUGGAACAUUGGGUUUGAUUGUAUCGACGUAUUCGACAAACAAAAGGGUCGAAUGCGUCACAAGCGCGUUAAUUGUCUUAUAACGAGAGCUUCGAAGUUAAAUUCGAGGAUUCAAGGUUAUAGGGUCAAGCGAACAAGUGCAUGUGGUGGAUGCCUUGGCGAUCACAGGCGAUGAAGGACGUAGUAGCUUGCGUUAAGCUGCGGGGAGCUGGCAAACGAGCUUUGAUCCGCAGAUGU